rnacentral:rRNA from 1 species
GACCAAGGAGUCUAACAUGUAUGCAAGUCAUUGAGAUAUUAUUAAACUCAAAGGCAUAAUGAAAGUGAAGAUCUAUUAUUAUAGAUAUGAGGAGAGAUCAUGUUAUUUAAAUUUAGUAUUCUGUAAAGUUUAUUAAAUAAUAUAUGCGCAUCUCCUGGACGUUUUAACCUUCGAAGGUAGGACGUACCUAGARCAUACACGUUGGGACCCGAAAGAUGGUGAACUAUGCCUGGUCAGAACGAAGUCAGGGGAAACCCUGAUGGAGGUUCGUAGCGAUUCUGACGUGCAAAUCGAUCGUCGGAACUGGGUAUAGGGGCGAAAGACUAAUCGAACCAUCUAGUAGCUGGUUCCCUCCGAAGUUUCCCUCAGGAUAGCUGGCACUUUUAUAUCAGUCUUAUCCGGUAAAGCGAAUGAUUAGAGUUCCUGUGGGACCGAAACGAUCUUAGACUAUUCUCAAACUUUAAAUGGGUAAGAAGUUAGCCUUGCUUAAGUUGAAGUUUAACAAUGGAUGGUGAGUGCCAAGUGGGCCACUCUU